rnacentral:rRNA from 1 species
GACGAACGCUGGCGGCGUGCUUAACACAUGCAAGUCGAACGAAGAGCGAUGGAAGCUUGCUUCUAUCAAUCUUAGUGGCGAACGGGUGAGUAACGCGUAAUCAACCUGCCCUUCAGAGGGGGACAACAGUUGGAAACGACUGCUAAUACCGCAUACGAUCUAAACUCGGCAUCGAGGAUAGAUGAAAGGUGGCCUCUACAUGUAAGCUAUCACUGAAGGAGGGGGUUGCGUCUGAUUAGCUAGUUGGAGGGGUAACGGCCCACCAAGGCGAUGAUCAGUAGCCGGUCUGAGAGGAUGAACGGCCACAUUGGGACUGAGACACGGCCCAGACUCCUACGGGAGGCAGCAGUGGGGAAUCUUCCGCAAUGGACGAAAGUCUGACGGAGCAACGCCGCGUGAGUGAUGACGGCCUUCGGGUUGUAAAGCUCUGUUAAUCGGGACGAAAGGCCUUCUUGCGAAUAGUGAGAAGGAUUGACGGUACCGGAAGAGAAAGCCACGGCUAACUACGUG